GCCUCGAAAGCUUGCAUAUUGUAAUCUUUUUAGUUAGCCAAUAAAACGUGUCAUUUUGCUUGGCUUUUCUCUACUUCUACUAAUUUGUAAUAAAGUAGGAGGACGAGCUUCAAAUGGACUGUCAGUGUCCCAAAGUCCAGUCCAGUGGGCACAGAGGUGGUCUGAAUGGUCUGUGAAGAGACCCCCAUGUCUGCUGACCACUGCUGUCCAUUCACAGCUCUGUCCAUAAGUGAUUUGAUCAAAAUGAUGACAAAGGAAAUCCACAGGACUUUAUCAGCUGACUUCACAGGACGUGUGGGGGUCACAUGAGUGACAUGUUUGUGUCCUCAGUUUGAAUUUGUCACAACAGCAGCUCAUUUCUUUAUAUCCUGCCUUUUCAAUGACGUCUGUUUAUAAAAGUCAGGACAGGACAGUGGACAGUAAGGGGGUGGAAUAAAGAUGGUGGGUUCUUUACAAGCUUUUAUUAAUAAUAUCAGAAAUAUUCAAACAAAAUGUUAAAAAUGUUAAAAUCAAUGGAAUUUGGUUCAAAUUGUCAGUGAACACCAAAGGCUAUCAGUCACACAGACGUCACCAAACCUGCAGGUCCCCAAGUCCUCUGCUCUGCUCAGCUCUGCUCUCUGGUGGUGACACCCUGUCACUUCUCUCAUUCUAUUUAUUCCCAGCUCUCACUUCUUCUCCUUUUUCUUCUCCUCUUCACUUCCAAGUCCUGAGUCAAGUCAGGCAGUUUUGAGUCAAGUGUUAAAUUUGAAAUCCCAAAGAAGUCAUAAUGUGUUUUACACCAAACUUACAUUUGCUAUUUCUUAAAUUUACAAGAAUCAUUUAAGACAUUUAUUAUUACAUUUCCAAACUAUCAACUCCAUGUUAAUACAAAGAUGAACAAAAAUGAAGUGCAAAUAAACAUGUAAUGAGAAUCAAUUCUCAAAGUGCUGCUGAAUACAACAAUACAAGCAGUACAAACAAAUGAGCAGGCCAGUUCUAUGUAUUGUCACACAUGUGUGCCCACCUGGAGAUGACCUUCCUGUCUCUGUGAGGUAAGUGAUACCACUCUGAGACGAGAGGGGGCGCUCACACUGACUGUCUCUCCUUAUCCACCUGCAGAUCUGAGAAGAAACCAAAUGAGGGGAACUGACUCAGCCACAGUGCCCAGAGCUGCCCCUGUCCUUCUGGGUGGGACUCUGAAAAGCUGCUGGUCACCCAGAGGAUGGAGUCUGCUGUUAGACCCAGAAACUCGACAUGAAGCAAGCGCCAUCAUGUUCACACAACUGCAAAGCAAAUUUGUCUAUUGGGCUGUAAAGGUGUGUUUUGUUGGGCCAUCGCGUCCACUUUUGUUUUGUUUCAUUUGAUUUCAUUAAAGGGGGACACCCAGUUGGUGCCCCGACAUUACAAAGCAACUUGUGCAGGUCUGUCCUCCAGUCACCAUAUCAGCAGACCAAUAUUUUCUGUUUGGAUUAUGUGUAUUGUCCUUAAUGAUGUCCAUUAUAUCUGUUCACCGUUGUA